rnacentral:rRNA from 1 species
GGCCUUGACAUACUAAGAACUUUCCAGAGAUGGAUUGGUGCCUUCGGGAACUUAGAUACAGGUGCUGCAUGGCUGUCGUCAGCUCGUGUCGUGAGAUGUUGGGUUAAGCCCGCAACGAGCGCAACCCUUUUCCUAUUUGCCAGCGGGUUAAGCCGGUAACUUUAAGGAUACUGCCAGUGACAAACUGGAGGAAGGCGGGGACGACGUCAAGUCAUCAUGGCCCUUGCGGCCAGGGCUACACACGUGCUACAAUGGUCGGUACAAAGGGUUGCUACCUCGCGAGAGGAUGCUAAUCUCAAAAAGCCGAUCGUAGUCCGGAUCGCAGUCUGCAACUCGACUGCGUGAAGUCGGAAUCGCUAGUAAUCGCGGAUCAGAAUGCCGCGGUGAAUACGUUCCCGGGCCUUGUACACACCGCCCGUCACACCAUGGGAGUUUGUUGCACCAGAAGUAGGUAGUCUAACCGCAAGGAGGACGCUUACCACGGUGUGGCCGAUGACUGGGGUGAAGUCGUAACAAGGUAGGCGUAGAUGA